GACGAACGCUGGCGGCGUGCUUAACACAUGCAAGUCGAGCGGUAAGGCCCUUUCGGGGGUACGACGAGCGGCGAACGGGUGAGUAACACGCGGGUGACCUGCCCUCAGCUCUGGGAUAAGCCUGGGAAACUGGGUCUAAUACCGGAUAUGACUCCAUGACGCAUGUUGUGGGGUGGAAAGCCUUGUGCGGCUGAGGAUGGGCCCGCGGCCUAUCAGCUUGUUGGUGGGGGAUGGCCUACCAAGGCGACGACGGGUAGCCGGCCUGAGAGGGCGACCGGCCACACUGGGACUGAGACACGGCCCAGACUCCUACGGGAGGCAGCAGUGGGGAAUCUUGCGCAAUGGGCGAAAGCCUGACGCAGCGACGCCGCGUGAGGGAUGACGGCCUCGGUGUAA
rnacentral:rRNA from 1 species